CAGUCGCCACGGGAAAACGAGGGGUGCAAGCGUUAUUCGGAUUGAUUGGGUGUAAAGGGUGUGCAGACGGCUUAUUAAGUCACUUGUUAAAUUCUUCGGCCUAACUGAAGGUCUGCAAGUGAUACUGAUGAGCUAGAGGGUGGAAGAGAGAAGUGGAAUUCUCGGAGUAGCGGUAAAAUGCGUAGAUCUCGAGAGGAACACCAAUGGCGAAGGCAGCUUCUUGGUCCAUUCCUGACGUUCAUACACGAAAGCGUGGGGAGCAAAUGGGAUUAGAUACCCGCGUAGUCCCUGUCUCUUAUAC
rnacentral:rRNA from 1 species